rnacentral:rRNA from 1 species
UACGGAGGGUGCGAGCGUUGUCCGGAAUCACUGGGCGUAAAGGGCGCGUAGGCGGCAUGCCAAGCGUGUGAUGAAAGCCCGGGGCUCAACCCCGGGUCGGCCGUGCGGACUGGCGUGCUCGAGCACUGUAGGGGCGGGUGGAAUUCCGGGUGUAGCGGUGGAAUGCGUAGAGAUCCGGAAGAACACCGGUGGCGAAGGCGGCCCGCUGGGCAGGAAGGCUCGCAAGAGCCGGCUGACGCUGAGGCGCGACAGCGUGGGGAGCGAACAGG